GGUUAAGCGACUAAGCGUACACGGUGGAUGCCCUGGCAGUCAGAGGCGAUGAAGGACGUGCUAAUCUGCGAUAAGCGCCGGUAAGGUGAUAUGAACCGUUAUAACCGGCGAUUUCCGAAUGGGGAAACCCAGUGUGAUUCGUCACACUAUCAUUAACUGAAUCCAUAGGUUAAUGAGGCGAACCGGGGGAACUGAAACAUCUAAGUACCCCGAGGAAAAGAAAUCAACCGAGAUUCCCCCAGUAGCGGCGAGCGAACGGGGAGGAGCCCAGAGCCUGAAUCAGCAUGUGUGUUAGUGGAAGCGUCUGGAAAGGCGCGCGAUACAGGGUGACAGCCCCGUACACAAAAGCGCAUGUGCUGUGAGCUCGAUGAGUAGGGCGGGACACGUGGUAUCCUGUCUGAAUAUGGGGGGACCAUCCUCCAAGGCUAAAUACUCCUGACUGACCGAUAGUGAACCAGUACCGUGAGGGAAAGGCGAAAAGAACCCCGGCGAGGGGAGUGAAAAAGAACCUGAAACCGUGUACGUACAAGCAGUGGGAGCACCCUUCGGGGUGUGACUGCGUACCUUUUGUAUAAUGGGUCAGCGACUUAUAUUCUGUAGCAAGGUUAACCGUAUAGGGGAGCCGGAGGGAAACCGAGUCUUAAUUGGGCGUUAAGUUGCAGGGUAUAGACCCGAAACCCGGUGAUCUAGCCAUGGGCAGGUUGAAGGUUGGGUAACACUAACUGGAGGACCGAACCGACUAAUGUUGAAAAAUUAGCGGAUGACCUGUGGCUGGGGGUGAAAGGCCAAUCAAACCGGGAGAUAGCUGGUUCUCCCCGAAAGCUAUUUAGGUAGCGCCUCGUGAAUUCAUCUCCGGGGGUAGAGCACUGUUUCGGCUAGGGGGCCAUCCCGGCUUACCAACCCGAUGCAAACUGCGAAUACCGGAGAAUGUUAUCACGGGAGACACACGGCGGGUGCUAACGUCCGUCGUGAAGAGGGAAACAACCCAGACCGCCAGCUAAGGUCCCAAAGUCAUGGUUAAGUGGGAAACGAUGUGGGAAGGCCCAGACAGCCAGGAUGUUGGCUUAGAAGCAGCCAUCAUUUAAAGAAAGCGUAAUAGCUCACUGGUCGAGUCGGCCUGCGCGGAAGAUGUAACGGGGCUAAACCAUGCACCGAAGCUGCGGCAGCGAACGUAUCACCCAAGACAACUUUACGGAGUUGACGAUUGACGGAGCGAAGCGACGUCAAAGCGUUCAUUAAAGUCGAGUUGGCUUAGGGAUACGUUCGUUGGGUAGGGGAGCGUUCUGUAAGCCUGUGAAGGUGUGUCGUGAGGCAUGCUGGAGGUAUCAGAAGUGCGAAUGCUGACAUAAGUAACGAUAAAGCGGGUGAAAAGCCCGCUCGCCGGAAGACCAAGGGUUCCUGUCCAACGUUAAUCGGGGCAGGGUGAGUCGACCCCUAAGGCGAGGCCGAAAGGCGUAGUCGAUGGGAAACGGGUUAAUAUUCCCGUACUUGGUGUUACUGCGAAGGGGGGACGGAGAAGGCUAUGUUGGCCGGGCGACGGUUGUCCCGGUUUAAGCGUGUAGGUGUGUGUUCCAGGUAAAUCCGGUUCACUUUAACACUGAGGCGUGACGACGAGGCACUACGGUGCUGAAGCAACAAAUGCCCUGCUUCCAGGAAAAGCCUCUAAGCAUCAGGUAACACGAAAUCGUACCCCAAACCGACACAGGUGGUCAGGUAGAGAAUACCAAGGCGCUUGAGAGAACUCGGGUGAAGGAACUAGGCAAAAUGGUGCCGUAACUUCGGGAGAAGGCACGCUGACACGUAGGUGAAGUGAUUUACUCAUGGAGCUGAAGUCAGUCGAAGAUACCAGCUGGCUGCAACUGUUUAUUAAAAACACAGCACUGUGCAAACACGAAAGUGGACGUAUACGGUGUGACGCCUGCCCGGUGCCGGAAGGUUAAUUGAUGGGGUCAGCGCAAGCGAAGCUCCUGAUCGAAGCCCCGGUAAACGGCGGCCGUAACUAUAACGGUCCUAAGGUAGCGAAAUUCCUUGUCGGGUAAGUUCCGACCUGCACGAAUGGCGUAAUGAUGGCCAGGCUGUCUCCACCCGAGACUCAGUGAAAUUGAACUCGCUGUGAAGAUGCAGUGUACCCGCGGCAAGACGGAAAGACCCCGUGAACCUUUACUAUAGCUUGACACUGAACAUUGAGCCUUGAUGUGUAGGAUAGGUGGGAGGCUUUGAAGCGUGGACGCCAGUCUGCGUGGAGCCGACCUUGAAAUACCACCCUUUAAUGUUUGAUGUUCUAACGUGGACCCGUGAUCCGGGUUGCGGACAGUGUCUGGUGGGUAGUUUGACUGGGGCGGUCUCCUCCUAAAGAGUAACGGAGGAGCACGAAGGUUGGCUAAUCCUGGUCGGACAUCAGGAGGUUAGUGCAAUGGCAUAAGCCAGCUUGACUGCGAGCGUGACGGCGCGAGCAGGUGCGAAAGCAGGUCAUAGUGAUCCGGUGGUUCUGAAUGGAAGGGCCAUCGCUCAACGGAUAAAAGGUACUCCGGGGAUAACAGGCUGAUACCGCCCAAGAGUUCAUAUCGACGGCGGUGUUUGGCACCUCGAUGUCGGCUCAUCACAUCCUGGGGCUGAAGUAGGUCCCAAGGGUAUGGCUGUUCGCCAUUUAAAGUGGUACGCGAGCUGGGUUUAGAACGUCGUGAGACAGUUCGGUCCCUAUCUGCCGUGGGCGCUGGAGAACUGAGGGGGGCUGCUCCUAGUACGAGAGGACCGGAGUGGACGCAUCACUGGUGUUCGGGUUGUCAUGCCAAUGGCACUGCCCGGUAGCUAAAUGCGGAAGAGAUAAGUGCUGAAAGCAUCUAAGCACGAAACUUGCCCCGAGAUGAGUUCUCCCUGAGACUUAGAGUCUCCUGAAGGAACGUUGAAGACGACGACGUUGAUAGGCCGGGUGUGUAAGCGCAGCGAUGCGUUGAGCUAACCGGUACUAAUGAACCGUGAGGCUUAACCUU
rnacentral:rRNA from 1 species